ACUUUUUCUUUGACAUGUUUUCUGGUUUGCUUUCUGUCACAUCAUUCUCCUUCUCAUUACUCCUCUUUCUCAACAGCACCAACUCUUCUCCUCUUGCUCUUGCCAUCUUCUGCAUUUUCCUGGCAAAUUUCCCAAUAACAUAAUCAUAAAUUGUUACAUUAAUUAACUUCAGAACAAAUGGGAUUCUCAAUACAUGAUGUAAGAAGAAACACAUUUUAGGAAGCAGCACUGCUUCUGCAGAGAACAACCUAGAUUAUGCAGUUCUUGUGAAAGUUUGCCUACCCCAGAUUUUAACAAUGUGAUUUUGAAUUUAAUCGACCAAUCCCACCUCUUAACAUCCAAGAUUCCUUUACAAAAACUCAAGAAAAUAUAUAAAGGUGAACAUUUGAGGGUUGAAACUGAGUUUUCUGUUUUGAUCAGUCAACACACUCAAAGCAAAAAAGUAUGAAAAUUUGGUAGAACUAAAAAGAAAAUAUCAAGUUUCAAGCACUCUAUUUUUUCAGCAUGGUCACGCAUCAACAAACAGAAAAGAAAAGCAGCACAUAGUUCUGGGAAUUCGAGAACAACACACAUGAAUCGAAACAAGUUACAAAUGAGGGAACUGAGAAGUGAAACAUACCUUAGAGAGGUCGUUCUUGGAGUGAAAAUUGUUGAUCACAGCAAUUGAUUUGAACGUGGGAAUGAAAAAAGUUUAACAGAAUUGAAGUCGUGUGCAGCAAUUUCAGAUUAAAGGAUAUACUUUUAGACAGAAGAAACAGAAAGAGGUUUAGUGAGUGAAGGGUGU
rnacentral:lncRNA from 1 species